CGAGCGCUCUCUUCGGAGGGAGCGGCGGACGGGUUAGUAACGCGUGGGAAUAUACCCUUUGGUACGGAAUAGCCUCUGGAAACGGAGAGUAAUACCGUAUGAGCCCUUCGGGGGAAAGAUUUAUCGCCAAAGGAUUAGCCCGCGUUAGAUUAGGUAGUUGGUGGGGUAAUGGCCUACCAAGCCUACGAUCUAUAGCUGGUUUUAGAGGAUGAUCAGCAACACUGGGACUGAGACACGGCCCAGACUCCUACGGGAGGCAGCAGUGGGGAAUCUUGGACAAUGGGGGCAACCCUGAUCCAGCCAUGCCGCGUGAGUGAUGAAGGCCUUAGGGUCGUAAAGCUCUUUCGCCUGUGAAGAUAAUGACGGUAGCAGGUAAAGAAACCCCGGCUAACUCCGUGCCAGCAGCCGCGGUAAUACGGAGGGGGUUAGCGUUGUUCGGAAUUACUGGGCGUAAAGCGCACGUAGGCGGACUGGAAAGUUGGGGGUGAAAUCCCAGGGCUCAACCCUGGAACUGCCUCCAAAACUAUCAGUCUAGAGUUCGAGAGAGGUGAGUGGAAUUCCGAGUGUAGAGGUGAAAUUCGUAGAUAUUCGGAGGAACACCAGUGGCGAAGGCGGCUCACUGGCUCGAUACUGACGCUGAGGUGCGAAAGUGUGGGGAGCAAACAGGAUUAGAUACCCUGGUAGUCCACACCGUAAACGAUGA
rnacentral:rRNA from 1 species